rnacentral:rRNA from 1 species
GACGAACGCUGGCGGCGUGCUUAACACAUGCAAGUCGAGCGACGCUCUUCCUUCGGGGAGAUGACGGAGCGGCGAACGGGUGAGUAACACGUGGGCAACCUGCCCCUAGCUCUGGGACAACACCGGGAAACCGGUGCUAAUACCGGAUACGUCAUCGAGCGGCAUCUCUCGAUGUGGAAAGUUUUUUCGGCUAGGGAUGGGCCCGCGGCCUAUCAGCUUGUUGGUGGGGUAAUGGCCCACCAAGGCGACGACGGGUAGCCGGCCUGAGAGGGCGACCGGCCACACUGGGACUGAGACACGGCCCAGACUCCUACGGGAGACAGCAGUGGGGAAUAUUGCGCAAUGGGCGAAAGCCUGACGCAGCGACGCCGCGUGAGGGAUGACGGCCUUCGGGUUGUAAACCUCUUUCAGCAGGGACGAAUUCAGACGGUACCUGCAGAAGAAGCACCGGCCAACUACGUG